GACUGGAUCAAUAUCCCAAAACCUAACAGAUACAAGAAACACAUUAGACAUAGUCCCUGUCCACCCUUCCAUUCCUUAAAUCAUUACAAACAAAAAAAAGGCAAAGGGAAAUGCAUAAACUUAUCUAAUGUAGAGCAAUAUCUGAGAAAAAUAGAUAAAUAUCAUCUAAGCAUGGCUGAACAAAGAAAUAAAUCUUGUUGAAUAUAUUAGUGUCAGGAAAAUCUGAAGUUCACAAACCAUUAAAUGCAUGAGUGAUACAAAGCACCAGUUAAACUAGAAGAUGCUGCACCUCCCAUUUUAAGGUUGGCCACUUGACCUAUGGCAUUAAAUGAUUUAUUCCAUUCCAUUUAAUUGGAAGUACAAUCUCACUCCAUCCCCAGAAGAGUACACACUUUUACAGUUAUUUCCAAAAUAAAUUGAUUUACUUUUCAGGUUUAUACACUACUCAUUCAUGUAAUCAGUAUUUACUUUAGGAAACAGCAACGCUCUUUAGAUGCAAAAUGCUGAUAAUGCAGAAUUAUGCAUUAUCAGCACUAAACUAAAACAACACACUUCAUUAAAGGUUAGAAUCAUAUUAAUGAUCAAUGCCAUAAAAACUUUUUUAAUGGUUGAAACAUCAUUGCUUAAGAGAACACAACAUUAUAAUGGCCAUGCUGAUCUGAAAUAGACCAUGAGU
rnacentral:misc_RNA from 1 species